AAGUAUUAGAAGCCACAUUCUCCAAUAUCAGUUUUGUAAAGAAUAGAGCUGAUGCAUUUGGUCUCCAUCUGUCUAGAUUCUUUGUCUCAUCUCUCAGUGGGCUCAGAACUUAGAAUGGCAGGGUGCUCUUUUGGGGGCCACAUUGAACUCCAGUAGUGACAGUUAGAUCGGCCCUGAAGUCUGACAGUUAAAAGAAAAGGAAUGUCAGGCCAAUGCAAUGUAUCCAAAAUGGCGGCCUCCGAAGUUGAGAAACGGUGGGUGAACUUUCCUGGCACAGGGAACCAAAAACACAGAGGCUUAGAAGUGGGAAGGCACAAGAGUGUUUGAAGACUAUGAAACCCCGAAGCUGCUGGAAUGCUGGGUGAGGAAAGAGGGGUUGAGAAGAAGCUGGAGAAAUAGCCAGACCAAUUCACGCAGGGGUUGCAAGGCCACAGAAAAGUUUGCAUUGUAUUCUAAGUGCUAUAGGAAGCCGCUGAAGGAUCUUAAGCAGGGCAAUGAUGCGGGUUUAUUGACUCCUUCAGAAGUCAUUCUUUUAACUCUGUAGAGAAUGAUCUGGCUGUGGGCCUUGAGAAUAGACAAAGAGAGAACACUCAGGAGACUUUUGCACUAGUCCAGGGCAAGUCUAGAUGAUGCUAAUACAGACUAUGAUAGCCGGAAUGAACCACUAGAGGGAAAUCCUCAGAUGGGAAAGAUCACUGGGAGAGCGAAGCCCCAGAAUCUGCUGAUGAAUUGGAUGUCAGGGGAGAGGGAAGAACUGGGGAUGAAUCCUAAGUUCUGGCUUGAUGAAUGGAUGGAUGUUGAUGCCAUUGAUAGGGAUGUGAAGACAGGGAGGAGCCUGGGGAAGACCUUUACAUUUCAGGCAUUCUAAGACUUCUUAGAGGCAAGGUGGGGUAAGCAGUUGGAUACAGGAGCCGACACUCAGGGGGUCUUGAGGAACCUUGGCAUUGAGAGGCAUGUGUGGGAGGACACUCAUGCAGAGGGGACAAGUGACCACAUCCAUGUCAUCCUGCCUGGACAGUCAUUUGGCUAGAGGACACUAAUGACGCAGCUAUUGUGUAUUAUUCAGCAGGGCUUGGGGCUGGAUGAUAUAGACAGCUUCCUUUGGAAAAUUCUGUCUAGCAAGCCUAGCAUUAUAGAGGAUUAUUGCAUGAUUUCAUUUUGGGGAAAUUUUUAUAACUUCUAGGAUAUUUUUCCUUCUCUGUACCACAGGUAGUUGUCAAUCAUUUUCUCAUUGAGGGCAAAAGUCGUGGAAGGCUUUUUAUUCAUUAUAAUUAAUGUCCUUUGAGAAAAGACCCUUUAAUUAAUAUUCCUAUCGGGCACAGAGCUUUUUAAAGACCCAUUCCCUCCCUAACACACACACAGCUGUGUUUUAUAGUCUAAUUGUCACCUAGCCAAGGGACCCCACAGGGAUCUGCAAUUUGUCCCACCUCUGCCCUGCCACGCUUCCCUGCAGCACUCCUAACUGCUGAAUCCCGUUCAGCCCCAUGAAAGGGGUGGCCGAUAUUUAAAGUUCAUUUCAGGAAGGUUUCAUAAUAAGAACUGGGGAAAAUAACAUAAUCUCGUUUUAAAACAUUUCCUUCCUCUGUUCUGCUGAUAGAAUCAAACAAUCCAGAGUUCCAUCUGUCCUGUCACAGGUCCAGAUUUUAGGAUGUGGUUUUGAAGUUAUUUGUUUUCUUUGUUUCUGGGCCCCUCUGGUGGGAUUGCCUCCCCUUCUGGAUGGGCGCAGGCUGUACCACUUGACCCUUGGAUUUGCAAUUCCAGGAGGAAAAUAAUGAGCCAGCACUGUCGGAAAAUGUCACUCUGUCCCAGUGAUCAGUCUCUAAGACUGGAGAGGGAAGUCAAGCUUGAAACGGCAGAGUGGAUUUUCUCUUCGAGGAGCACUUUUACAGUUUUCAUAGGAAGCAGGUUGUUCUCCGGCACUGAGCGCCCCCCGAACGCUGGGCAAAAUGAAGCUGAAUUCACAGCUGCUGAGUUUCCCACGGGCCAACCACACCAUUGCUCCGAAAGACCUUGAAGUUCCCUCCUUCCACCUCCUCCACUUCUUACCUUCCUUCUUCCUCCCACACACUGACUUGGCCAGUCUCCAUCAGAGAUACUGUACUUUUUACAAAUGGAAGGUUUGUGGCAAUCCUGCAUGGAGCAAGCCUAUUGGUGCCGUUUUUCCAAGACCCAUGUGCUCACUUCGUGUCCCUGUGUCCCAUUUUGGUAAUUGUCACGGUAUUUUAAGCUUUUUCAUCAUCGUUAUAUCUGUAAUGGUGAUGUGCGAUCUCUGCUGUGACUAUCGUAAUUGUUUCGGGGCACCAAGAAUCGUGCUCAUAAAAUGGGGAACUUAAUCGAUAAAUGGUGUGUGUGUUCUGACUCUCCCACUGAUGGCUGCUCCCUGUCUGUCUCCCUCUCCUUACACCUGCCUAUUCCUGAGAUAUAAAAAAAUUGAAUCAGGCCAGUUAGUACCCUACGAUGGCCUCUAAGUGUUCAAGUGAAAGGAAGAGCGUUGCACAUCUGUCACUUUAAAUCGCAAGCUGGACAUGAUGAAGCGUAGUGAGGAAGGCAUGUCCAAAGCCAAGACAGGCUGAAAGCUAGGCCUCUUAAACCAGUUAGCUGAGUUAUGAAUGAAAAAAAGUUCAUGGGGCUGGGUGUGAUGGCUCAUGCCUGUAACCCCAGCAC